GCUGGCGGCGUGCCUAAUACAUGCAAGUCGAGCGGACCGACGGGAGCUUGCUCCCUUAGGUCAGCGGCGGACGGGUGAGUAACACGUGGGUAACCUGCCUGUAAGACUGGGAUAACUCCGGGAAACCGGGGCUAAUACCGGAUGCUUGAUUGAACCGCAUGGUUCAAUUAUAAAAGGUGGCUUUCAGCUACCACUUGCAGAUGGACCCGCGGCGCAUUAGCUAGUUGGUGAGGUAACGGCUCACCAAGGCGACGAUGCGUAGCCGACCUGAGAGGGUGAUCGGCCACACUGGGACUGAGACACGGCCCAGACUCCUACGGGAGGCAGCAGUAGGGAAUCUUCCGCAAUGGACGAAAGUCUGACGGAGCAACGCCGCGUGAGUGAUGAAGGUUUUCGGAUCGUAAAACUCUGUUGUUAGGGAAGAACAAGUACCGUUCGAAUAGGGCGGUACCUUGACGGUACCUAACCAGAAAGCCACGGCUAACUACGUGCCAGCAGCCGCGGUAAUACGUAGGUGGCAAGCGUUGUCCGGAAUUAUUGGGCGUAAAGCGCGCGCAGGCGGUUUCUUAAGUCUGAUGUGAAAGCCCCCGGCUCAACCGGGGAGGGUCAUUGGAAACUGGGGAACUUGAGUGCAGAAGAGGAGAGUGGAAUUCCACGUGUAGCGGUGAAAUGCGUAGAGAUGUGGAGGAACACCAGUGGCGAAGGCGACUCUCUGGUCUGUAACUGACGCUGAGGCGCGAAAGCGUGGGG
rnacentral:rRNA from 1 species